UCCUACUGCAGCUCUUAACCAUAUGGAUGCAGGAUUCGAAUCAUAUAAGAAGUCGAAUAGUCGUUUCAGUCCGUAUAGAAGAAUUAAGUAACUAGCCAAACAGCAAGACGAUUCAAAUAAUAUGAGUCACCAAGUAGUAAGAGGAUUCAAGUUAUGUAAUGGGAAGAUUUGAAUUAUGUAGCUGAUCAAAUGCUUGUUGUUUUGUCAUUCAGUCAAACAACUAAGCAAUGAUAGUAAGUUUGCUAAAACCAAAAAACACCAGAUGAAGUUUCAUAAUUUCUGACUACACGGUUUUAAAUUCCCUCAAUUCUCUUCAUUUUAGAAAAGUUUGAAGUAUUUUUUAAAAACUACAAUGGUUACCUCUCUCCAACGUCUCGGAACCAUUUCCAUGUUCAUCGGAUCCAUCCUUUAUAACCUAUUUUUGCUCGAUAUGAGCACCGUGCCUCAGAUCGUCUCCUUUCAACUCGUGGUGUCGGUCUCAACACUCCUGAUUGGAAGUAUCCUGUCCUACGGGCUGAAGGAAAUGGACGAUCGCUUUUUGAAAGCACUUGGUAUAAACGUGUACCUAAUUGGUACUGGAUACGAAUGCAAAAGUGCCUUUGUUUACGAUUCGACGCCAAUGAGUUAUGCUUCGAGUAUUUUAGGUGGUCUCCUAAUGAUGGGAGGUCUCAUUCUCAUAUACUUGAAGAGAGGAAAGCCAACGGAAUCUACUAUAAAAUGUCAGUUUUAUAUUGGCGCAUUGAUUUGUGCCUUGCGUUGGCUCUAAUGAUGCUAGAUAUAGCCCUGAGAAUUUGGACAACAGAUUUAAGAAUGCAUCCAGAAACUAUUGGCAAGGCUUGGAUUGAUAUAUCUAUAGGAACACUUUAUAUGUUGAAUGGGGCGUUGCUGACUUGCAUUGCUAUGAAAAAAACAGAAGGAGGUCGAGUGGAACCAGAUGUACUGUUUUUUAGCCACGACAACAUCUUCGAUCAAAUCUUCUACUGAAAUUUUUGCCUCAUUUCAAGGAUGGGAAUGAUUUUAGAAAAUUUUAAUUGUAGGAACUGCACGUUUGAAAUUUUUAUGACUGACGGUUGAAUGAACAAAUAAGAUAAAGAUUACAAAUUUGCCAUUUUUUAGCAUGUCUUUUUUUUAUCAUUUUAUAUUUGCCUGUGUAUUUUAAUUUCUUGUGUUUGCUUUUGACAAAUGGCAAUAAAUGUUUUU